rnacentral:rRNA from 1 species
AGUGAACGCUGGCGGCGUGCUUAACACAUGCAAGUCGAACGAGAACGGGAUAUAGCUUGCUAUAUUUGUCAGCUAAGUGGCGCACGGGUGAGUAAUGUAUAGGUAAUAUGCCUCUUACUAAGGGAUAACAAUUGGAAACGAUUGCUAAUACCUUAUAUGCCUUUAAGACUAAAGCCUGCAGGGGAAAGAUUUAUUGGUAAGAGAUUAGCCUGUAUUGUAUCAGCUAGUUGGUGAGGUAAUGGCUCACCAAGGCUAUGACGCAUAACUGGUUUGAGAGGAUGAUCAGUCACACUGGAACUGAGACACGGUCCAGACUCCUACGGGAGGCAGCAGUGGGGAAUAUUGCACAAUGGACGAAAGUCUGAUGCAGCAACGCCGCGUGGAGGAUGACACAUUUCGGUGCGUAAACUCCUUUUAUAUAGGAAGAUAAUAACGGUACUAUAUGAAUAAGAGGUUGCAAACUCUGUGCCAGCCGCCGCCGUAA